rnacentral:rRNA from 1 species
GACGAACGCUGGCGGCGUGCUUAACACAUGCAAGUCGAACGCUGAAGCUCAGCUUUUGUUGGGUGGAUGAGUGGCGAACGGGUGAGUAACACGUGAGUAACCUGCCUCCUUCUUUGGGAUAACGCCCGGAAACGGGUGCUAAUACUGGAUAUUCACUGGUCUUCGCAUGGGGGUUGGUGGAAAGGGUUUUUCUGGUGGGGGAUGGGCUCGCGGCCUAUCAGCUUGUUGGUGGGGUGAUGGCCUACCAAGGCUUUGACGGGUAGCCGGCCUGAGAGGGUGACCGGUCACAUUGGGACUGAGAUACGGCCCAGACUCCUACGGGAGGCAGCAGUGGGGAAUAUUGCACAAUGGGCGCAAGCCUGAUGCAGCGACGCCGCGUGAGGGAUGGAGGCCUUCGGGUUGCGAACCUCUUUCGCUCAUGGUCAAGCCGCAACAAUGGUUGUGGUGAGGGUAGUGGGUAAAGAAGCGCCGGCUAACUACGUG